rnacentral:piRNA from 1 species
CCCCACCGUCAGCACCCAAAGCUG